AGAGUUUGAUCGAUCGGCUCGAGGACGAACGCUGGCGGCGUGCUUAACACAUGCAAGUCGAACGGUAAGGCCCUUCGGGGUACACGAGUGGCGAACGGGUGAGUAACACGUGGGUGAUCUGCCCUGCACUUCGGGAUAAGCCUGGGAAACUGGGUCUAAUACCGGAUAGGACUCCUGGCUUCAUGGUUGGGGGUGUAAAGCUUUUGCGGUGUGGGAUGGGCCCGCGGCCUAUCAGCUUGUUGGUGGGGUAAUGGCCUACCAAGGCGACGACGGGUAGCCGGCCUGAGGGGUGACCGGCCACACUGGGACUGAGAUACGGCCCAGACUCCUACGGGAGGCAGCAGUGGGGAAUAUUGCACAAUGGGCGCAAGCCUGAUGCAGCGACGCCGCGUGAGGGAUGACGGCCUUCGGGUUGUAAACCUCUUUCAAUAGGGACGAAGCGCAAGUGACAGUACCUAUAGAAGAAGGACCGGCCAACUACGUG
rnacentral:rRNA from 1 species